AAUCACUGGCUGUUUAUAUCCACUUGGAAGAUUCAAAGAAGCGUCCACACCUGAGCCUUGCCGAGGGGAAGCAAUUCUGUUUAAAAACCUGCAGAGAAAUGUUUCCUCGCCUCUCCCUUCCUGGCCUCCUGUGGCUAAACCCCACCUCUGCUGCAGAGGAUGUCAUACAAGAGUGAACAAGACCGAAGACUUUGGAGGUAUACAGACCAGCAAGGUUCAACUCCUACUCCUGCACUUUCUACUUUUGCAGGGUUAGGUGAAUCCUCUCUCCAAGCUCUGUAUCCUUAUCAGUAGAAUAAGGAUAAACAUACCUGCCUUGCAGGGCUGUUUGAAGAAUAACUGAGAAAAACACAAACAGUCUGUGAUCACUCACACAACUCCAGGUGGUAUUUUCCAGACUCCCAGACAGACAUGCCCAUGUGAGGGAUGCAAGCCUAACUUUGAGCAGCGCUGAUGGCCAAUCACCAACACAAGCAUGAAAUUCUGUGGUGGGGCAGCUUGUCAGUAAUUUGAAAACCCGUGAAGACGCUGGAAAUGGAAGAUUGUUGUGUGCUCUGCAGAGUAGAAAGGGAAGAGCUUCUAUUCCUGAUGUUGGCAGAAAGAACCGCAGGGGCCAUGCUGGCUCCGGGAGAAAUGGGGCGUCAUCUGGAGACCAGUCAACACUCAUUCGCCACCUCCAGUCUCUAAACAAGAUGGAAACUGGCAGCCCUCAAACAUGUUUCACUUGGCCCACACAUUGGUUUUGAAAAUUCAUAU
rnacentral:lncRNA from 1 species